AGUUUGAUCAUGGCUCAGGAUGAACGCUAGCGGGAGGCCUAACACAUGCAAGCCGAGCGGUAUUGUUUCUUCGGAAAUGAGAGAGCGGCGUACGGGUGCGGAACACGUGUGCAACCUGCCUUUAUCUGGGGGAUAGCCUUUCGAAAGGAAGAUUAAUACCCCAUAAUAUAUUGAAUGGCAUCAUUCGAUAUUGAAAACUCCGGUGGAUAGAGAUGGGCACGCGCAAGAUUAGAUAGUUGGUGAGGUAACGGCUCACCAAGUCUGCGAUCUUUAGGGGGCCUGAGAGGGUGAUCCCCCACACUGGUACUGAGACACGGACCAGACUCCUACGGGAGGCAGCAGUGAGGAAUAUUGGACAAUGGGUGAGAGCCUGAUCCAGCCAUCCCGCGUGAAGGACGACGGCCCUAUGGGUUGUAAACUUCUUUUGUAUAGGGAUAAACCUAGAUACGUGUAUCUAGCUGAAGGUACUAUACGAAUAAGCACCGGCUAACUCCGUGCCAGCAGCCGCGGUAAUACGGAGGGUGCAAGCGUUAUCCGGAUUUAUUGGGUUUAAAGGGUCCGUAGGCGGAUCUGUAAGUCAGUGGUGAAAUCUCACAGCUUAACUGUGAAACUGCCAUUGAUACUGCAGGUCUUGAGUGUUGUUGAAGUAGCUGGAAUAAGUAGUGUAGCGGUGAAAUGCAUAGAUAUUACUUAGAACACCAAUUGCGAAGGCAGGUUACUAAGCAACAACUGACGCUGAUGGACGAAAGCGUGGGGAGCGAACAGGAUUAGAUACCCUGGUAGUCCACGCCGUAAACGAUGCUAACUCGUUUUUGGUCUUUCGGGAUCAGAGACUAAGCGAAAGUGAUAAGUUAGCCACCUGGGGAGUACGUUCGCAAGAAUGAAACUCAAAGGAAUUGACGGGGGCCCGCACAAGCGGUGGAUUAUGUGGUUUAAUUCGAUGAUACGCGAGGAACCUUACCAAGGCUUAAAUGGGAAAUGACAGGUUUAGAAAUAGACUUUUCUUCGGACAUUUUUCAAGGUGCUGCAUGGUUGUCGUCAGCUCGUGCCGUGAGGUGUUAGGUUAAGUCCUGCAACGAGCGCAACCCCUGUCACUAGUUGCCAUCAUUAAGUUGGGGACUCUAGUGAGACUGCCUACGCAAGUAGAGAGGAAGGUGGGGAUGACGUCAAAUCAUCACGGCCCUUACGCCUUGGGCCACACACGUAAUACAAUGGCCAGUACAGAGGGCAGCUACACAGCGAUGUGAUGCAAAUCUCGAAAGCUGGUCUCAGUUCGGAUUGGAGUCUGCAACUCGACUCUAUGAAGCUGGAAUCGCUAGUAAUCGCGCAUCAGCCAUGGCGCGGUGAAUACGUUCCCGGGCCUUGUACACACCGCCCGUCAAGCCAUGGAAGUCUGGGGUACCUGAAGUCGGUGACCGUAAAAGGAG
rnacentral:rRNA from 2 species